rnacentral:lncRNA from 1 species
GGGGGAGUCGUCGAGGUCGCCGUGGCGGGCGAAGCGACGGUGAGGUGGUGGUAGUGGUAUAAAUAAGGGUUUCCGCGGUGGGGUGGCCGGAGGGCGGAGGCAGUUGGGCUGGAAUUUUCUGGGUGGACUUGACCUGGGGAGCAGUGGACGGAUGGCGAUGGCGAUAGAGAGAGAGAGGAGAGGACAGGAGAGUGGGAAGUAGAUCCGGCGCAGUGGCGGGGGUGACUGUCCCUCCGAGUUGCUCGCCGAGGAGGUAAUGGCGGUCGCGGUGAUCCGGCUGGCGGAGGUGGUCGCCGGCGACGAGCACGAUUGGUGCGAAUUGCGAUUUGCUUUUCGAAUUUUGGGAGAUUUUUUUCCUUCUAUUUUUUGCGGUGGUGGGGCCUGUGUGAUUGCCUUUGAGUGACCACGCGCCACGAGCCCACUAU